UGAAUUAAUUUAUAUAUGGUAUGAAAUAGUAGUCCAAUUCAUUUUACUGAAUGUGGAUAUAAAGUUGUCCCAGCAUAGUUUGUUCAAGAUGCUACUCUUUCACCAUUAAAUGAUCUUGGCACACUUGUUGAAAAUCAAUUGGCCAUUAAUGUAAGGGUUUCUUUUGGGGCUCUCAGUUCUAUUUCCCUGGUCUAUAUGUCUAGUUGUGUUACAGUAUCAAACCUUUUAGGUUGCUGCAGCUUUAUAGUAUGUUUUGAAAUCAUGAAUUAUUACUCCUCCAACUUUGUUCUUUUUUUUCUUUUUGCAAAAAUUGUUUUGGCUAGUGGGAUUCCUUGCAAUUCUAUAUGCAAGCAACCUUUUUUGUAAAUAUCGGUGAUCAAAUUUUAAAGUGUACAUGGGAAGGCAAAAGACCUAGAGCAAUUAACACAAUCCUGAAGAAUAAUAAUGCUGGAGGACUCAACUAUUUGAUAUUGAGACUACAGGAAUCAAGACAGUGUGAUACUGAUAAAAGAAGGUGCAUAUAGAUUAAGAGAACAAAUGCAAAAGAAAAUGAUGAAACCAUACGCAAACCUUAGAAUGUCUGCAAACAUUAGCUCAAACUGCAUCAUAGACCUAAAUGUAAAACUCAAAAACUAGAAAACUUCUAGAAGAAAACAGGAGAAAUCUAAGUUCCCUUGGGUUGGAUGGAGGGUCUUUACAUGCAACAAUAAAACAAUGAUCCUUGAAAGAAAAAAAAGUGAUAAGUAUAAUUUUAUUAAAGUUAAAAGCUUCACUCUGUGAAAACAAUACUAAGAUGAUAAAAUAGCAAGUUACAGACUGGGGAAAAAUGUGACACACACAUAUUGAAUAAAGUACUUGUAUUCAAAACACACAAAACUCUCGAAGCUCAACAAUUAAAAAAAAACAGAAGCGGGGAGGACUCAAGAUGGCGCUGUGAGAACAACCCAGGAUUGGAGCUCUCUUUGAGUCUGCGGAGAGGUUGGAGUGCACUGGCGCAAUUUCCACUCACUGCAACCUCCACCUUCUCAGGUCAAAGCCAUUCUCCUGCCUCAGCCUCCCGAGUAGCUGGAAUUACAGGUAUGGACCACCAUGCCCGGCUAAUUUUUUUUCCUGUUUUUAGUAGACACAAGGUUUCACCACGUUGGCUAGGCUGGUCUCAAACUCCUGACCUCAUGAACCGCCCACCGCAGCCUCCCAAAGUGCUGGGAUUAUAGGCGUGUGCCAAUACACCCAGCUGUAAAAGCUUUAAAACAUUCAUAAGACUGAAAUGGCCAAGUUAGAGAACAGGUACUCCCGGUGAGCAGGAAGAACCACAGGAGAGCUUCAAAUAUCCAUCUACAAAGUAAUGCUUUAAAUAAUUGCUUGAAAAAGUGGCAAAAUGCUGGCCGUUGGCAGUCUACCUUUCUGCACACAUUAUAUAUUUUGUAACUUCCAAGAAGCAUGAAACAGAUGAGCUUGACUGGGAACCAGAGGAGGCAGCAGCAGUUUGAAUGGGAGAAGCAUCAGGGGACCGGGACUGCCUUUGCUCUGUCCUGUCUGGCUCCCGUCUGGAAGGCCUGAGCUAGGGCCUCCCCAUACAGCAGUCACUUCCCCUUUCUUCUGUCUUCUUUAAUUUUCAGGAAAGUUUCCAGUGAUGGGGAUUACCGCACCCCUGUCACAGCUGAGUAAAGUGAGGCACAAU
ensembl:lncRNA